rnacentral:rRNA from 1 species
CAUAGCGACUAUCGUGGCAUAUCAAUAAGCGGAGGAAAAGAAACUAACUAGGAUUCCCUCAGUAACGGCGAGUGAAGCGGGGAGAGCUCAAAUUUGAAAUCUUCAAGGUUCUACCUUGACGAAUUGUAGUUUAAAGAAGUGUUUUCUGUUGGAGUUUUGGUAAAAGUUCUUUGGAAUAGGACAUCAUAGAGGGUGAGAAUCCCGUAUUUGACCAUUAUUUCCAACUUUGUGAUACACUUUCAAAGAGUCGGAUUGUUUGGGAAUGCAGUCCAAAAUGGGUGGUAAAUUUCAUCUAAAGCUAAAUACUGGCGAGAGACCGAUAGCGAACAAGUACCGUGAGGGAAAGAUGAAAAGAACUUUGAAAAGAGAGUUAAACAGUACGUGAAAUUGUCAAAAGGGAAGCGUUUGACACCAGUGUUGUUUUCUCGAAAAUCAAUUAAAAAUGAUGGGAUGUUGUGUUGUAUUGACUUUAUCAGCUUUCUGCACUCUUUUCCUAUCUUUUUUAAUGCACUUUUCGUUUAACAAGUCAACAUCAAUUUCUUUUGUUGUAAAAGAGUCAUUGGAAGGUGGCUUUCUUUUCGGAGAAAGUGUUUAUAGCCUUUGGCUUCUGCAAUCGGAGAGAUUGAGGUCUGCAGCGUAGAUCCUUCGGGGUUAGAUGCAUUUGUGCUAAGUUAUAGCCUUUCAUAGACAACUUGUUGACUAUGAUCAGUCAUGUAGCUUACUCGCUUAUGCUAUUUUACCUACGCUUAGGAUGUUGAAGAUAUGCGCGACAC